CCUACGGGAGGCAGCAGUGGGGAAUAUUGCACAAUGGGCGAAAGCCUGAUGCAGCCAUGCCGCGUGUGUGAAGAAGGCCUUCGGGUUGUAAAGCACUUUCAGUCAGGAGGAAAGGGUGUGAGUUAAUACCUCAUAUCUGUGACGUUACUGACAGAAGAAGCACCGGCUAACUCCGUGCCAGCAGCCGCGGUAAU
rnacentral:rRNA from 1 species